CCCUUAGAUGUUCUGGGCCGCACGCGCGCUACACUGACGAUGGCAACGAGUUUUUCCUUCGCCGAAAGGUGUGGGUAAUCUUUUGAAACAUCGUCGUGCUGGGGAUAGAUCAUUGCAAUUUUUGAUCUUGAACGAGGAAUUCCUAGUAAGCGCGAGUCAUCAGCUCGCGUUGAUUACGUCCCUGCCCUUUGUACACACCGCCCGUCGCUACUACCGAUUGAAUGGUUUAGUGAGGACUCCUGAUUGGCGCCGCCGCCCCGGCAACGGAGCAGCGGACCGCCGAAAAGUUGUUCAAACUUGAUCAUUUAGAGGAAGUAAAAGUCGUAACA
rnacentral:rRNA from 1 species